UCCCACUUGCUAACUCCAUGAACUUGAGUGACUAUAACAGUGGCUCAGUUUCCGUACCUAUAAAAUAGGGGUAAGAAGACCUGUGGGUUGCAGAGAGGCUUUAUGUUUAAGUGCCCAGGCUUGCUUGCUGAAUAUCCCUGGGCAACUGACCACUCUAUGUCUAAGUUUUCUUGUCUGUAAAAUGGGGAUGAAGAUACAUGGUUCACAGAGUUCGUGAGGCUUAAACAAACCCAUGCCUAAAAUACAGGGUAGCUUCUGUUCACAAUUACUAUAAAUGAGGGAGUGACAGGGAGAUGCCCUUACAACCUGGAUUUGAGAUUAUUGGUUUAAGUCAGAGUGACUCACCAGGCCAGAAACCCGAUGAGCUGGCUGUGGAGGAAGCUUUCUUCAAAAAUGCUCUGUGUCCCAGCAGGUAGCUGGACUGGGGAACACCCGCCUCUGUUUGAGACCUCAAAAACAUGACCAGAAAAAAAAAAUGACCAGAAUGGAUGUAGUUAAGAAGGUCAAACCUUCUUCUUUAGGAAGAAGGUGGGCCUUGUAAAAUCCAGAAGGAGCAGGUACCUGGCUGUGUUUGCUCAGGUGAGAGUAGACAUAGAAGUUGUGCUGGGUUUGUGUGUCAGAGAGGGGAGGGUACUGACUCCACCAGAGCCCAUGUUAAAUCUCUUAAAACUAUUACUUGGGGUCCUGGUUUUCCAAACAACCUGCAGAUGAACUUCACACUAGCAAAAUGCCCCCUGGAUCCAGGCAGACACCAGUGUUCCAGUUCUUGUGUUGUAAACAUUCUACACUUCUAUUAUUUCUUUAUAGCACAAAUUCAUUGUGAAAGAAUUUGAAAAUCAACUAAGCAAAACUGGAAAAGAACCACAUACAGAGACAUUAUGUUUUGGCAUAUAACCUUGGACCUUUUAUAUCCCCAUAUCUACAUGUAAAUGCCCAUAAUAAAACUAUACAUAAUGUUGCUAAACAAAUGAAUAUAUAUG
rnacentral:lncRNA from 1 species